UAAUUAUGUAGCAUUAUAUAAUACAGGGUGUUCUUUUUCUGUUAAGUUAUACAUGGAGAGUAACUCCUUGCUGCACGUCUCCUACAAGUUGCUGCCCUCUUGGUCGAGUCUGAGGGUGUUGAAUUUGAAAGGGAACCGAUUCUAUUGCGACUGUGAUCUGUACAACAUAUCGCAACAGCUCAAUGAAGACAUCAAACGAAAUGGCGACGGGCCGUACUGCCUGGACGCGAAGGCGUUCACAUCAAGAGAAGUGUACACACUCAAGGACAACGCCUGCGGAAUGUGGCCCCUUGAAGAUUCUACAAGUAAAUCAGUUUUCCAUAAGUCGAUGACGCUUAUGAGAAUCGUACUGAUGUUAAUGAUGGCGUUAUUAAUCAUUUCUACAGCUAUGGCCGUAUGGCUGGCGGUAAUGAAAUGGAAAACAUACAAUAGAAGCCUCAAUUAUCCAUUUCCAAAUCAAGUAGUUUAUAAUCCAGUUUCAACUUAUGACGCGAGAUAUUAGGAGAGCACAGAUUUUUUUUAUUUCAGUACCUACGCAGAGAAAAUUAUUUAUUUCGUAGUAAAAGACACUCAAUCAAACCGUAUACAUACAGAUCUUUAUAUUAUUUUACUUAUAAGCUGGGAAAACUUUUUUUUUUGUUACCUACCUGGCAAGAAGAACCAGAAAUUUGUUCGGCAUAAGCAAGGAACUGGUGUAAGAUAUCUUCGGACUUCUGUGCAGUUUCUUUAAAAGUAUAGAACAUGUCCAAUUGUUCGGCACAACGUAAACAAAUUACAUGAGGCAGUGGGUCACUAUCAGAUAUCUAUAAAAAAAAAAAAGUGGAAUAAACAUUACUUUUAAAACCUACCCCAAUAAUAUUUACUAAUCUACUUCUUUACUGCUUUAACAUAAUGUACAGGUGUGUAAUAAAUAACAUUAAGUAGAUAGGUACCUAUCUAAAAAAAAAAGGCAAAAAGGUCCCAACGAUAUAAAACUGAUAAAUAUUACAAAGCAAAUAAUAAUGAGAAACUUGAUACUACCCACUGCGUUUCUAUUUUUAGAAGUGUACCUACAUUGAUACAUAAUAUGUAAAUUACCAAAUAAAUAAUUUGCCAAUAUCA
rnacentral:misc_RNA from 1 species